UCUUACCUUGAGCACGUAAGAUCCAGGAGAAAGGCUCAGGGGGCUCCCACAGGAGAGGACCGGGAAAGUGCUCUGAUCCGCGGCUGAUGUCUACCUUCAACCCUUCUUGACUUUCAAAGCGAAGGCAUCUCCCAUGUCUUGAUGUCUGCUACUGAUUGUGCAUUCUUCUUCUUUUAGAAAGAGAGAGACAGCGAGAGAAGAAACACAAGCAAUGGCAGAAGGAGAAGGAGAAGCAGGCUUUCCGCUGAGUAGGGAGCCUGACACGGGACUUGAUCCCAGGACCCUAAAACAAUGACCUGAGCCGAAGGCAGAAACUUAAUGACUGAGUCACCCAGGCACCCCUCUAAUGCUUUAAUUUUUAAACAAGAUUAUCAGGAAUUCCAAGGAACAGUGUGUUGGGAUGGAGUCACCCAUUUUGCUUUUAGGUUAGUGUUUCCAUGAAACAUUUCAUUUAAUACGGGGGCAUGUAUGAAAUGUCUGCUUUGAACAGGUUUAUUGAUCUCUGCUAGAACAACAAAUGCCAACACUUUUAUUAAUGAGGUAAAAUGGGUCAUUAAGGUUAUAAUUAUAUGCCUCACUGAAUGUUCCCCAAGUUUAUCCAGCUCAGUAUUUUUAUUUUAAAAAUAUUUAAUUACCAUGGUCAUUUUUCUUGGCUUACAAUAAGUGUGUGUGUGUGUGUGCAUAUCAUUUAUGUAUAUGUGAUGCAUAUCACAGUGACUUGAUGAUGAUUAGCCUAAGACCUAUUUGGAGUUCUUGGAGAAUGUUCUAUCAGUUAUUUGUGGAUCAGUCUCUACUGCACUGUGCUAUAUCUAUUUGUAUAUGUCUUAUUUCCAUACAGAGUUGAAGGCAAGAGUUAGAUCUUAUUUAUCCUUCUGUUCCUAUGGAGUCUGGUAUAUGUUGAUAUUCAACUGGAUAUUACUUUGAAACAAAAUAAAACAAAACACAAAAACCUAGCCGAUGUCUCUGCGAAAUUUCCUAAUCACCAAUGACUUGCCAGUUAGUUGUGAUAUCUCUCAGUCUCUCAUCUUCUGCAGGCAAAUAGUUUCUCUUGUCUCUCCUAACACUUUCUCAUCCUAAAUAAAAUUGGAUACAAGACUGUGGCACAGUUGGUUUGAGUGCAAGGCACCAGAGCACAGCUCAAGUGAAGUCAUUCUUGAUGCAGCUGGCUGGUUCACAGUCAUUCAGUUUCACUUCACAGAGGCACAGUAUUUAU